rnacentral:rRNA from 1 species
GUGGGGAAUAUUGGACAAUGGGCGCAAGCCUGAUCCAGCCAUGCCGCGUGAGUGAUGAUGGCCUUAGGGUUGUAAAGCUCUUUCAGUAGGGAAGAUAAUGACGGUACCUACAGAAGAAGCCCCGGCUAACUUCGUGCCAGCAGCCGCGGUAAUACGAAGGGGGCUAGCGUUGUUCGGAUUUACUGGGCGUAAAGCGCACGUAGGCGGAUUGGUCAGUUAGAGGUGAAAUCCCGAAGCUCAACUUCGGAACUGCCUUUAAUACUGCCAGUCUAGAGUCCGGAAGAGGUGAGUGGAACUCCUAGUGUAGAGGUGGAAUUCGUAGAUAUUAGGAAGAACACCAGUGGCGAAGGCGGCUCACUGGUCCGGUACUGACGCUGAGGUGCGAAAGCGUGGGGAGCAAACAGGAUUAGAUACCCCGGUAGUCC